rnacentral:tRNA from 1 species
GGGCGGCUGGCCUAAUGGUAAGGCGUUUGAUUUCGGCUCAAAAAAUUGCAGGUUCGAUCCCUGCGUCGCUCA